CCUACGGGAGGCAGCAGUGAGGAAUAUUGGUCAAUGGGCGCGAGCCUGAACCAGCCAAGUAGCGUGAAGGAUGACGGCCCUACGGGUUGUAAACUUCUUUUAUAAAGGAAUAAAGUGAGGCACGUGUGCCUUUUUGUCUGUACUUUAUGAAUAAGGAUCGGCUAACUCCGGUCAAGCAGCCGCGGUAAUACGGAGGAUCCGAGCGUUAUACGGUUUUAUUGGGUGUAAAGGGAGCGUAGAUGGGUUGUUAAGUCAGAUGUGAAAGUUUGCGGCUAAACAGUCAAAUUGCAAUUGAUACUGGCAGUCUUGAGUACAGUUGAGGUAGGCGGAAUUCGUGGUGUAGCGGUGAAAUGCUUAGAUAUUACGAAGAACACCGAUUGCGAAGGCAGCUUACUAAACUGCCACUGACAUUGAUGCUCGAAAGUGUGGGUAUCAAACAGGAUUAGAUACCCCAGUAGUC
rnacentral:rRNA from 1 species